rnacentral:rRNA from 1 species
AUUGAACGCUGGCGGCAGGCCUAACACAUGCAAGUCGAGCGGAGCGGCGGACGGGGGAGUAAUGCCUAGGAAUCUGCCUGGUAGUGGGGGAGAACGUCCGGAAACGGGCGCUAAUACCACAUCCUAUCGGCUGAGCAUAGGUCGGAUGAGCUUGUUGGUGGGGGAAAGGCCUACCAAGGCGACGAUCCGUAACUGGUCUGAGAGGAUGAUCAGCCACACUGGAACUGAGACACGGUCCAGACUCCUACGGGAGGCAGCAGUGGGGAAUAUUGGACAAUGGGCGAAAGCCUGAUCCAGCCAUGCCGCGUGUGUGAAGAAGGUCUUCGGAUUGUAAAGUACUUUAAGUUGGGAGGCGUUACCAACAGAAUAAGCACCGGCUAACUCCGUGCCAGCCGCCGCGGUAAUUC